UAAUGAGAAAUGGUGUCAGAUGUUUUUAACAUUCUAGUUUUUUCUGUUUGAAGUUAAAUGUGUAGUCGGUUCAGCCCAAAAGCUACUAACGGCUCCAACAGCUAAUGCUAGUGUUGGAUUCAGACAGAAAACCGUCGAUUCUGCUACACUAAAAUAUUAUUUCUUUCUUUCUGUAAAGUGUAGAAACACGCAUAGAUUAAUGAGGAAACCCCCAAAUGAGUAAAAUCAGCUCAUUUUAAGCAGUGACUGUAAGGUUCAUAUUUGACAUUACAUCGCUGCAGUACUUUUAUUUAGAAAAUUACCAGUGCUUUUACAUUAAAACCGUGUGUGAUUUCCUGUCUAGCCCUAUGUUAACUGCGGAAAUCAACGUGUCGCAGAAGUGGCUCUCGGCAAAAUUAUAACCCGAUCCUAUCUUUAGCGGAGCGGUGUGCGGGUUUCGGUACGGGAUCUGCUCGGGUACAGGAUCGGCUCGGGGUCCUUCGACUGCCGAUGACGUCAACGUGGUUGAUUGGCUGAACAUGAAGCUUACGGAAGUGACGUAAUCACGUUAUGAUGAUAUAGUCUUAGCGGUUGUAGUCCUGUAGUCCAAAAAUCAACACGUUUUGGAGAAAAUAUGUUUGAAUUUCUAAAGGAAAUGUAAAAUAUAAGCAAUUGAUAAACGGUGACCCUCAAAAUCUCUUGAAGUUGAUGAAAUGGGGCAAAAUAAAAUAUAAUAACUUUAUUGAAAGACACCAAGCAACAUUUAGAGUCAAAGAAUGUAUUUAGAUAACAACUAAGGAAAUAUACAGACGAACUCCACAUUAAUACAAACAGAUAUGGCUUCACAUAUAAGAACUGUCCUAUUGUUUGUCAGUCCGAUGUUGGUUUUAUGCAGUUUCACAUUCUUUACAAAACAAAGAUAAUAUGGUGUUUUAUUAACAAAUUACAAUUAUAAAGAAAACAUUUAGGUGUUAACAAACAAGAAUUUAUUAACAACACUGCUGACGUCUUUCCAAAACGUAUGUGUGAAAGCCGAGUAGAGUUGCAGUCAUGUGAAGUCAUCGGCAGUCGAAGGACCCCGAGCUGAUCCUGUACCGACACUGGCUUCCUCAAUGAUCCAACACAAGAUGAAUGCAGUAGUAUAUCACGGCAGAAUCUAACCCUAACCCAGGCAAAAAAGGGUUUGGGGUAUUUCUUAUGAAGAAAUUACAAUAUCACAUGGUACAAUGUUCCAAAAAGUAGAUUUUUUUAAUGAUCUGAACAUUUACAAAAACUGUUCAAUCAAUGAACCUCUGUCCACAGUCUUGCGUUUUAUGUGAUAUUAGUUAUAGCUCCCCCUUCAGUUCCAGAACGUAAGUGUUGCAUUUUCCAAAUAUGGAAUGAGUCUGACUGGUAGCCCUACAACGCCUCUUUCUUCGUGCUGCAGCCAGGGCCUUCUCGCUACUUGGGCCAGCUCCUCCAGGAGAAUCCCAAGGUGUCCCCUGGCCAAACGAGUCCCUCCAGCGUAUCCUAGGUCUUCCCUUUGGUCUCCUCCCAGUUCGAGCACAAAUGUUUUAUUGUUAAAAUGUUAUAAUUAAAACAGUUUUUUCUUUGUCUGGCUUUUAUAGAUUAACAGAUAAUGUACAGGUCAAACAGCGCUGAGCAGAUAACAGAAUAUCUAGUGGUAAAAUCCAACAAUAUAAAAUCUUAUGUAACAUGAUAUGUUUUUGUUUUCUUUUUUAGACUGAGAGCUUUGAGCGUGGUUUGGUGCAUCAGCAGAAAGAACGUGAUUCCUUCUUCUGUGCUUACAGAAUAUUUCCUGUGUAUCCUGUGGUGACUGGUGAGUAAAACAUGUUAAAUGUAUGAUGGAGGUUUUUCCAGGUUUUCUACAGAGGUUAAAAACAGCUGUUGUCUGAAGAGUGUCUGCUGAUGUGGCAACAGGUAAUCAGGGAGACACCGAUAGCAGAUGUGCAAAACAAGGUAACACAAACACGGUCACUCUUGCCCCUCCCAUUGGCCAUCAUUCCCAGGCCAAGUCUGGCAGAUGUGGAACCUGCAUUGCCAGAGAAAACAAGAAAGCGCUAAACAUUGGUCGCCAUUUUCUAGGACCAAACGUCUUUGACUUGGGCUUUUCUUUCAGUCAAGAGCAGGUAGAGGUGCUUAAGUGUAUCUAGAGAUGCUCCGAUCUGAUCAUGUGAUUAGAAAUCGAGUCUGAUAUCGUGAUUUUUCAAUGGGCCUGAAUGAACUCUAUCAGAGUUUCUCAGAAAAAUUAGUUGUGCAGACUUGCACAUGCACCCACAUACAUAACAGACUCACUGCUCAGUAGAAUGAGCAAACAUAGAAACUGCAGCAGGCUGGAGGGUUUCCACUCCACCUAGAUCACUAGAAGAAAGGGAGGAGAAUGUUUCCUUUAUGGAGGCAAGCGGCUCUGAGCUGUAACGUUUUCAUAUCGACCUGUGAGAUGACUCUUGUCGUGAGUUGCCACUAUGUAAAUAAACUUAAUUGAAUGAAUUCUGAGUGGAGGUGUGGUCAUGACUCAGCUGGAGUCCAGUGCAGUUCUGUCAUUUAACGUCACCUUGUACCUUUUAGCCAUCAGCUGUGGCAGAUUCAGAAUCAAUUUAGAGCAGAGUUUUAACCUGGAGAUGGACAAAUGGCUAUGGUUUGAAGAUGAAUUAUGAAAUUUUAAGUAAGCGGAGGCUUACAGCUGUGCUUUGUGAUAAAGUAGGCCCAAGUCUAAAAUGACGCCAGUUAUUCAUUUAUGUUACUAAUUACUUGCAGUCAGUCUGAUUGUUUAGGUCACCAAGCAGAAUUGGGAUAGCUAAAUAGUAAUUUUAAGGAUGUUUUACUCACAAUGCUAGUUGGAUCCAUUCACUUACUGUGUUUUAUGCUAAGCUAAAGGAGUACAGCCGGGUUGGGAGCAUGACUGGGCUGGUUACAAAUUGAUUUUUUCCUACUUAUUGAAAUAUUAAACAAAAAAAUCUGAGAAAUAUGUCAAUAGACAAAUUAAAAUUUUGGGUGGAAUAUCCCUUUAAGGAGGACACUAUGCUACAUGCUUGAAGGAUCCCAUGUUCCUGAGAAGGCUGUGUGAAGAAAACCUGGCUGCAUGUGGGCGGGCCGACCAGAUUGAUGUUUGUGUUUAACCAAAUUAUUUCU